UACAGAGGGGGCAAGCGUUGUUCGGAAUUACUGGGCGUAAAGGGCUCGUAGGCGGCCAACUAAGUCAGACGUGAAAUCCCUCGGCUUAACCGGGGAACUGCGUCUGAUACUGGAUGGCUUGAAUCCGGGAGAGGGAUGCGGAAUUCCAGGUGUAGCGAUGAAAUGCGUAGAUAUCUGGAGGAACACCGGUGGCGAAGGCGGCAUCCUGGACCGGCAUUGACGCUGAGGAGCGAAAGCCAGGGGAGCAAACGGG
rnacentral:rRNA from 1 species